AUCUUUGUGCAGUGGCAGUAUCGUAGUCAAUGAGGUUUAUCUGAGGUGCGGUUAUUGUUCAUUGAAAAAAAAAAUUAUC
rnacentral:snRNA from 1 species